rnacentral:lncRNA from 1 species
CUUACAGUACAGUAUUGUCUGUGAACUUAUUCUCUCUCAGCCUGUCUGCAUUUCUGUCUCCACCUGGUUUGAGACUGUACUUCAUUCACUACACUUAACCCCUCUCUCUCCCACUCAAGCCCUACUCUCCUCCUCUCCAUCCCUCCAUCAUUUCAUGUUUCUCUUCGUUUGGAGAAGUCAUCACUGCCUUUCGCCAUUAUCUCAUUUUCUCCCCCUGUUUCUCUCCCUAGUUCCCUCUCUCUCUCCCUCCCUCCUCCACUCUCCUUAUAGAUGGAGAUUAAGUCUGGGCUGGAGCCCCAUCCGUUUCCAUGACUGUUUGUUAUUAAGGAGAUGGAUGGAGGCUUGCAGUGCCAGCUCGACGCAGCCGCAAUUACAGCAGGUCCAGUGAUAGAUGGAGGGAGAGCGAGCGGGAGCGAGGGAGGGAGGAGAUGGAGAGAGGGAGAUAGAGAGAGGGACAUCUAUCACGCCCUUUAAUCUACCUGUCACUGCUCGGUGAAGGCUGGGGAAGGAGGCUGGGCCUUGAGUGAGGAUAGUGAGGUAUGGGAUGGAGGGAUUAAUUCUCUUCCAUUGGCCAUGGGAAUGAUAGAUGGACAGAUGUGGGGAGAAGAAAGAGAGGGGCAAAGGAGAGAAGGGAAGUCAAGAGGUCCAUAAAUCUGACGGGAACCUGGUCUGCGUCACACAUUAAGAUCUCCCAGAGCCAUGAUAACCCAGGCUAGAAAUGUAAGUAAUGGCAAGAGAUGCAAUCUGAUCUUAACAAUAAUAUCUGAAUGGAUCUUUGGCGAUGGGUCAUGAUGCAAAGAAAACAUUUAUUUGUUUUGAUCAAGGCUCAGGUGUGAGGACGGAGGCUAUAGCAGAACCAGCCGGUAGAUCAUACUGUUUACAGUUGUGCUUACAAGAGUGACUGUUGGUUCCAUUGAUAGUGGGACACCUCUCUCCUUCCUCCCAAAGUGUGCACUUGUUCACAUUCCUUCACUGAUUUGAAAGAAAAUGACUGGAAUAUAGAAAUAUGGUGAAAACCCUCUAACCCAUGCCUCGACCAAUCCAAUGCCUUUAGAUUUGUGAGAAGUAGUGAACGUGUGUACACUUCAGGAGACAUUAUCAGGAAACAGCCAUUGUGUAGUUCUACGGUGCAGCGGAGUGGAGACUGGAGGUUCAGUAACAACACAGACAGUCAAGAGAUAUUAUCAGGAAACAGCCAUUGUGUAGUUCUACGGUGCAGCGGAGUGGAGACUGGAGGUUCAGUAACAACACAGACAGUCAAGAGAACAGGAACAAAACUGUACACAAAGCAGAGUCAAUUAGAGAGUGCUCUCCCCAUUGGCCCUCCUGCGCAUUAGGGAGCCCAUAGGCAAAGAAGGGAGUGUAUGUGUGUGUGUAUAUAUGUGUGUAUAUAUUUGUGUGUGUGGG